rnacentral:tRNA from 1 species
UGUAUAAAAGUGUAUGAAGCACAAAAGAUUUUGAAUCUAUUAGACAAGUUUAAUUCUUGAUUAUACAA